rnacentral:rRNA from 2 species
UACGUAGGGUGCGAGCGUUGUCCGGAAUUAUUGGGCGUAAAGAGCUCGUAGGCGGUGUGUCACGUCGAUCGUGAAAACUUACAGCUUAACUGUGAGCGUGCGGUCGAUACGGGCAUCACUGGAGUUCGGCAGGGGAGACUGGAAUUCCUGGUGUAGCGGUGAAAUGCGCAGAUAUCAGGAGGAACACCGGUGGCGAAGGCGGGUCUCUGGGCCGAUACUGACGCUGAGGAGCGAAAGCGUGGGGAGCGAACAGG